rnacentral:rRNA from 1 species
AACAGGAUUAGAUACCCUGGUAGUCCACGCCCUAAACGAUGCCAACUAUGUGUUGGGGAAGGAGACUUCCUUAGUACCGUAGCUAACGCGUGAAGUUGGCCGCCUGGGGAGUACGGUCGCAAGAUUAAAACUCAAAGGAAUUGACGGGGACCCGCACAAGCGGUGGAUGAUGUGGAUUAAUUCGAUGCAACGCGAAAAACCUUACCUACCCUUGACAUGCCUGGAAUCCUGCUGAGAGGUGGGAGUGCCCGAAAGGGAGCCGGGACACAGGUGCUGCAUGGCUGUCGUCAGCUCGUGUCGUGAGAUGUUGGGUUAAGUCCCGCAACGAGCGCAACCCUUGUCAUUAGUUGCCAUCAUUGAGUUGGGCACUCUAAUGAGACUGCCGGUGACAAACCGGAGGAAGGUGGGGAUGACGUCAAGUCCUCAUGGCCCUUAUGGGUAGGGCUUCACACGUCAUACAAUGGUCGGUACAGAGGGCUGCCAACCCGCGAGGGGGAGCCAAUCCCAGAAAGCCGAUCGUAGUCCGGAUCGCAGUCUGCAACUCGACUGCGUGAAGUCGGAAUCGCUAGUAAUCGCGGAUCAGCUUGCCGCGGUGAAUACGUUCCCGGGUCUUGUACACACCGCCCGUCACACCAUGGGAGCGGGUUCUGCCAGAAGUAGUUAGCCUAACCGCAAGGAGGGCGAUUACCACGGCAGGGUUCGUGACUGGGGUGAAGUCGUAACAAGUAGCAUCGG